rnacentral:rRNA from 1 species
GAUGAACGCUGGCGGCGUGCCUAAUACAUGCAAGUCGAGCGAACAGACGAGAGUGCUUGCACUCUCUGACGUUAGCGGCGGACGGGUGAGUAACACGUGGGUAACCUACCUAUAAGACUGGGAUAACUUCGGGAAACCGGAGCUCAUACCGGAUAAUAUUUAGCUUCGCAUGACGCAAUAGUGAAAGACGGUUCUGCUGUCACUUAUAGAUGGACCCGCGGUGUAUUAGCUAGUUGGUGAGGUAACGGCUCACCAAGGCAACGAUACAUAGCCGACAUGAGAGGGUGAUCGGCCACACUGGGACUGAGACACGGCCCAGACUCCUACGGGAGGCAGCAGUAGGGAAUCUUCCGCAAUGGACGAAAGUCUGACGGAGCAAUGCCGCGUGAGUGAAGAAGGUGUUCGGAUCGUAAAACUCUGUUGUAAGGGAAGAACAAGUACGUUAGUAACUGAACGUACCUUGACGGUACCUGACCAGAAAGCCACGGCUAACUACGUG